UGGGAUAAGAAUUUUUAUUUUAUUUUUUUAAACAAGUUUUUAGCUAAGAACACAAGUCUGUCUACUGUCUCUGGUUUAAGAGAAGCUCUGUGGCAUGAAACUAUGUUCCCACUGCCACUAAAAACCCUCUCAGAUGGGGAGCUAUUUGCUGAAGCACAUAGGAACAAUAUCAGUCAUUCAAGCUAUGAUCCUGGCAGAUCUACUAUCUGAAAAAAGACUCAGCAGAUUUUUUUCAAGACACACAAGAUGGAGCGUGGAGAGACCGGACAGUUCCCACAGUGCUAGUUUUUCAGCACCCACACCCCACACACAAAUUCAUAUAGAAGUUUUCAAUAAUAAAAAGUUUAUAUGAUAGUUUAUAUUUAGCUAUGAAGUUAUAGUUCAUUGUCAUAAAUAUUAAACUAAAUAUUAAAGUCCCCCUGUAGUGAAAUCAAGUUUUUAUGCUGUUUAUUUGUCUUUGUGGUUUUUAAUAUUGCUACAUUACAAUCCAAUAACCAAUCACAUUAAAGAAUCAAUUCCUAUCAUUAGAAUGCAAAAUAUACCAAUACCAGCACAAGACUAAAAAUAAAUUAUAGGAAAAAAAAAAAAAAAACAUUAAGCUGUGGUUUAAUGUGAAUUUAGAUACAAUAUUUGACUACGGGGGACUAAAUUUUUUUUUACAUGAUAUGCAAUUUUCACCAGUCUGUUCAAUGUGUUAAUGAGAUUUUUGAAAGUGAUUAUCUUUAAUAAUUCAGAUACCUGUUGAAAUGCACAUGUAAUUAUAUGCUUGCUCGUAUCUUGAAUGUUGUGUUAAUAAACAUUAUGUUGAAAGAAUGUUGCAACAGUGCUAACCUGAAAAUAACAUUUUAUUAAGCUACACUUUGUAAUGUUCAAAUGAAUGUUUAUAGAAUGUUUUAUUUUUAAGAAAUUGUAAGUGGAAAGAACAUUGUAGGAAC
ensembl:lncRNA